CACACACCUGUGCCGCUUUAGGAGUUGAUUUAUAGAGAGCACUCAGGAUCUCUCUGUAGGCAUUGUGGUCCAGUGUGGCUAGAGAGCAGGUAUGUUUUGUAGGAGUUAUGAGUCAAGGCUGACAAUGUUUUAAUCACAGGUAUUUUAAGUCACCUGUUGUCCAGACCUUGUCAGCUGAAUAGCCUGUUGUGCUAAAGGUUCACCACAGAGAAGGCAGUGGUUAGCGCUGAGUGGGCCUAAACAUCUGAUCUACAAAUGAGGUGUAGUCAGAGCUGGGUUGGGUACUUACCGCAUUGUGUGAGCAAGCCCUCACCAGAUUAAACCAUCAUAUGGAGGACACUUCACAUGAAUGCACUUGUGGAUUUUCACUGCGUGGCGUCAACCCUCCUCCGCCAAUGUAGGAGUGUCUC